rnacentral:rRNA from 1 species
UACGGGGGGAGCAAGCGUUGUUCGGAUUUACUGGGCGUAAAGGGCGCGUAGGCGGCCACCGCAAGUCGACUGUGAAAUCUCCGGGCUUAACCCGGAAACUGCCAUUGAUACUAUUUGUCUUGAAUACUGUGGAGGUCAGCGGAAUAUGUCAUGUAGCGGUGAAAUGCUUAGAUAUGACAUAGAACACCAAUUGCGAAGGCAGCUGGCUACACAAAUAUUGACACUGAGGCACGAAAGCGUGGGGAUCAAACAGG